UGAAGAAAAAAAUAUUUAUAUACAUGUAUGUAUAUAUGAAAAGUUAUAAAGUUGGAUGAAGAAAAAACACCUGAGAGAUGGAGUAGUGUGAUGAGGUGAGGUAGAAAGAAAAAAUGAGUAAAAUAAAAAAAUAAAAAAUAAACAAGUGAAAGAGUCAGGUAGAAAAGUGUUUGGUAUAGAAGGCAAUAAAGACAAACGAUAAAAAAAAAUUCUAUCCUAGUAGUAGGCUGUAUAUGAGUGAGCAAGAAUAUAAAAAUAGAAACAGUUUAGUGCAAAAGCAAGUGAGGAAAGAAGAUGCAAUGAUUUACCAUAUAAUGGUACCCUGAGGGCGCAUAAGCUUCGCCACGACGCAAUUUCUUACUUCGUCCCUUCCAGUAUACCGCAUUCAAACGAAGGAGAACGUGUCUGCUGUGUCAAUUGAACAACUCGAUUAACGUAUACUAUAACUCGUUGACUUGUGGAUCUUUUGAAAAUGUUAUAAAGGUCAACUUAGAAUAAUCAUCAAUCCAAAAAAAAAACCAGUAAUAAACAUGUCAUUAAUGAUCAAAUAAUUAUCUAAGGAAAACACUAUCAAUUGCUGCAAUUUGUAUGAUCAUUAUAUGAAUUGAAGACUGCGGAAGCUUGGUAGACAUCUAUCCAAAGGUUCCUUUUGCCAACAAUUAUCUGAGUUACAAGGAGAGAAUUCAUGGUAUUUGUUGAUCUGUCAUAGACACUCGACCAUAAAUAUUAUACAAAAGCAAGAUGGGUAUAUAGUUUGUACUUAAUGUUUGUUUCUCUUAUACGAUGAAGAAUCAUCACCCACGCAUCGUAGAUCUUCUUCUUGAUGCUGCUGCUUCUUGCAUUACGUCAGGUAAUAUCAAACAAAAGAGAGAAUCAGAGAGUUUAACUGAAGGGAAAAUAAUAUAUAUAUAUACAAUAUAAAGUGGCUCGCGCCACAACGACGCUUUUGCCCCAAGGUUACUUCGUGUCACGGGCACAGCUGGGCACUAAGAGUUCGCUGACUCCAACGAAUUU